UGAGGAAUAUUGGUCAAUGGGCGCGAGCCUGAACCAGCCAAGUAGCGUGCAGGAUGACGGCCCUAUGGGUUGUAAACUGCUUUUGUAUGGGGAUAAAGUCAAUCACGUGUGAUUGUUUGCAGGUACCAUACGAAUAAGGACCGGCUAAUUCCGUGCCAGCAGCCGCGGUAAUACGGAAGGUCCGGGCGUUAUCCGGAUUUAUUGGGUUUAAAGGGAGCGUAGGCCGGAGAUUAAGUGUGUUGUGAAAUGUAGACGCUCAACGUCUGACUUGCAGCGCAUACUGGUUUCCUUGAGUACGCACAACGUUGGCGGAAUUCGUCGUGUAGCGGUGAAAUGCUUAGAUAUGACGAAGAACUCCGAUUGCGAAGGCAGCUGACGGGAGCGCAACUGACGCUUAAGCUCGAAGGUGCGGGUAUCGAACAGGAUUAGAUACCCUGGUAGUCCGCACAGUAAACGAUGGAUGCCCGCUGUUGGUACCUGGUAUCAGCGGCUAAGCGAAAGCAUUAAGCAUCCCACCUGGGGAGUACGCCAGCAACGGU
rnacentral:rRNA from 1 species